CCGGAGAAUGUUAUCACGGGAGACACACGGCGGGUGCUAACGUCCGUCGUGAAGAGGGAAACAACCCAGACCGCCAGCUAAGGUCCCAAAGUCAUGGUUAAGUGGGAAACGAUGUGGGAAGGCCCAGACAGCCAGGAUGUUGGCUUAGAAGCAGCCAUCAUUUAAAGAAAGCGUAAUAGCUCACUGGUCGAGUCGGCCUGCGCGGAAGAUGUAACGGGGCUAAACCAUGCACCGAAGCUGCGGCAGCGACACUCAGGUGUUGUUGGGUAGGGGAGCGUUCUGUAAGCCUGUGAAGGUGUGUCGUGAGGCAUGCUGGAGGUAUCAGAAGUGCGAAUGCUGACAUAAGUAACGAUAAAGCGGGUGAAAAGCCCGCUCGCCGGAAGACCAAGGGUUCCUGUCCAACGUUAAUCGGGGCAGGGUGAGUCGACCCCUAAGGCGAGGCCGAAAGGCGUAGUCGAUGGGAAACGGGUUAAUAUUCCCGUACUUGGUGUUACUGCGAAGGGGGGACGG
rnacentral:rRNA from 1 species